GUAAGCUAAUUUGGAGAUUUUGCAAGCUGACAUGCAACCUGAUUAAAAUGACCCCAGGCCAACAAUUCUUCUUAGGCAGCUCCGCAAUUAAAGUCUAGACCUAUCUGUAGCCCAGGUUUGGCUUUUGGGGUUUUUUUUUUUUUUUUUUUUUAAUUUUUUUUUUUUUUUUUUCUUUUUUCUUUUUUCUUUUUUUUUUUUUUCUUGGGGAUUCUCCUUUCUCCUGCCAGACUGACUUGCACCUUCUUGAUAAUUUCUCUUCCCCUCGUUUUUUUUUUAUACUCUUCUCCCUGCUUCCAAACCCUGUGUCUGUGUGUUCCAAUACUAUCACAACCUCCGCUAAAAAUAGAUCUUUUUAUAUACCCUUCCUCCUCUCUGACCCCAUCCAACACCCCUUGUUAAGGAAACCAUCUUACACCCAGAGCAAGAAACAUAAAUUCGCUUGGCUGUCCCACAUCUCUAAGGGACCUGAUGCAUGAGUGGACUAGAGAAAGGAAAGAGAGAAAAACUCCAAGGACCUACAGGUCAUCUUGCUGGCAGGGUGAGUAAAUGUCCUAGCAUUUCAGUUUUGUGUUGUCAGGUUCACAAUGAGUGAUUCUGCUUUAAGCAUUGCCUCAGGAAUUUCCCCUCCAGUAAUUUUUGAGAAAA
rnacentral:lncRNA from 1 species